ACAGUGUGGAGGACAGCUUCUAGCUGGCCCCUGGGAAACGCAACUCCAGGAUCUUGACCUUUGCCAAUCAUUGGCUGAUGGUGGCAGAAGCACACCUCCUCCUUUUUUUUAAUGUGAAGAUGUGUGCAGCAAACCACAGAUGGAGGGAGCAGGAAGAAAUGGGGCCGUUUCUAAAGAAAUUAGAUGCCGGAGGAGAAGAAGGUUCUAAGUCCCAUGGAGCUGAAGUUCCAGCUGUUGAGAGCUCCCCAAAGAGGCUGCUAGGAAUGGAACUCCAGUCCUCUGGAAGAACAAGUGCUUUAAACCAUUAAGCAUCUCUCCGACUGCAGGAACUGUUUGAAACCUUUGCAGUGGCCAAGGAAUAGAAACCCUAACUAUGGAGCUGGUGAGAUGGCUCACUGGUUAAGAGUGCCGACUGCUCUUCCGAAGGUCCUGAGUUCAAAUCCCAGCAACCACAUGGUGGCUCACAACCAUCCGUAACAAAAUCUGAUGCCCUCUUCUGGAGUGUCUGAAGACAGCUACAGUGUGCUUACAUAUAAUAAAUAAAUAAAUAAAUAAACAAACAAACAAAUAAAUAAAUAAA
rnacentral:lncRNA from 1 species